ensembl:snRNA U6 U6 spliceosomal RNA
GUGCUUGCUUAGGCAGCACAUAUACUGAAAUUGGUACAACACAGGGAAGACGGGCAUUGCCCCUGUGCAAGGGUGACAUGCACAUUCAUGUAGCGUUCCAUAUUUUU